GCGGGUCGGUUGAUCUCGGCGUGAGGAGGGCUAGGUUUAGGAGAGGCUGGGGAGGGACAAAAAGUCGCGGCGGGUUUAGUGUCGUCGUCGUUGGCUACGGGGGGACGAGGGACCGAGGGGGAGCAGCGGAAACUCGGGCUCGCACGGUGGUGGCGUCCGGUUGGGGCAGCGGUGAGGAGGAGACGAGGAAAGGAAGGGGAACAAAGGAGAGGGUAAAGAGAGUAGAGAGAGAGAGCAAGACCUGUCCUUCUGGCGGUACCGUGGGCCUGCAGUAGUAGGAGCUCGAGGUGCUGGUGAGGUCGUGGUUCUGGGCAGCGGCGGGUCGGUGCGGUACUUGAGCUACGGUCGCGGUGACACAAAGACGGUAGGCGCAGCCGUUCACGUCGCGGAUCGGCGCGACUGGAGGUCAACGUCCUUGGAGCGGUACCGGUACCUCGGGUUCAGGACGGCGUACGAGGAGGACAGACGGGUUCAGGAGACGGGAACGUCAGAAGAAGAGGAAGUGAACUGGAAGGACGACGGCCGCUGGAGCGAGAGGCUGCUGGUGGAUGGUCCUCGGCUCGGUAGCAGCAGAACAAGCUGAGGUUGGUAGCCCUUGGUCGAAGGGAGCAGUCUAGGCCACCCAGGGGCGGCGGCAUUCGGCGGACGUCCGGGCAGAGCAGCUUGGAGGGAAGUUCAUCGUGGCGGAGCGGGACGAAGGACAGGGCGGGCACGGUUCCGGUCGCAGCCGGAGAGGAAGGGGACUACACUCGUCGCCAAGUCCUAGCUCGCGCGAGCGAGCGGGCGAGCAACUGGCGCAGCGCGGACCCGGCGGAGGGAAGGUCGGAGAGGUUCCGGGUUCCGGGUCGUGGGCGGGAAAGCCGGAUGGAGAGAUGGCUAGACCCGGUCCGGGUGACCAAGACUAUUGUAGCACAACACUCCUAAGCAAGUUGAUGCAGGUAAACAUAAGAAGGACCUGAGUAAGAAGAAGGAACGCCCUAGAGUCGAACGUCCACGGCAACUUGGUACGUCUACUACAUUGGUUCGAAAUCCUCGUCGAGCAACUUCUAGCACAAGCAAUACAACAAGGCAAAGGUCAACUAGUCAUCACCUCGGGUGAAUCCUGCUAGCCCCUAGACACAUCGUAAACCCCAUCAGAAGAAAAUAAAACCAAGGUAUCAGCCGGGAACUAACAUAGACCUACAACAUUACAAAAUAAGUACAUUAACACACUUCACCGCUAACAUUCGGUUGAUACAUAGAGAAAGGGAAUACAUAAUGUACCCAACACACUUCUAAUGGAGUGAACGCUGUAACGAAAGUUA
rnacentral:rRNA from 1 species